AUGCAGUUAAGGCGUGAGGAGGUUUUUGUACAGCCUCUCAAUGAUCUUGUAUCACUGUGGUACCCGUUUGGUAGCGGCACCAGACUGAAUGUUGGCACCACCAGGCAGCCCAGUGUGACGGUGCUGCCUCCCUCCAGAGAGGAGCUGUCCAGUGGGGGCUCUGCCACACUGCUGUGCCUGGCUGACAAGGGCUUCCCCUCAGACUGGAGCCUGAGCUGGAAGGUGGAUGGCAGCAGUAGGAGUGGAGUGGCCAGUGCUGGGCUCAUGAAGGACGGUGUGUACAGCUGGAGCAGCAGCCUGACCCUCACUGAUGCUGAGUGGAGAGGAGCCACCUCAGUGGUGUGUGAGGCCACCCAGGGAUCCCAGAGAGCCGUCAGCAAAGCCCUGAGCAGAGCUGACUGCUCCCAGUAGCCUCCAGACUCUGCUCUGCUCUGCUCUCUGCUGACUCCUACAGCUUACAGCUUACAGCUUCACUUCCAGCUUCAUACAUACACCAUCAACACACCACAACACAUUUACUGAACAUUUCAGUGUUAAUUCAGAUUCAGAUUGUAUUUUGUCCAAAGUAUUCUCAAAUGUUGAAUUAACAUUUAGACUGUGAAGUCUCACCAUCUCUCACCAUCUCACUUCUGCUGAGCUCUGAUGCAUGCAGCUGUUAAUGACAAUGCAAUAGUUGUGUUUUAAUUGGAAGAAUUUCUUUGACUAUUGAAAAAUAAACAGUGAAAUUG